GGGCCCAGGGGGACCUGAGAGGACUUGAGGGGGCCGGCCAGGGGCACCUGAGGUGGAUGAGGGGACCUGAGUAGAUUUGAGGGGACCUGAAGUGGCUGGAGGACCUGAGAGGGCCGAGGUGGCUGCAGGGGCUGCGGGUGGAUGGAGCACAGGGUCCUGGGGGACCAGGAGGCUGAUCUCAAGGAGCUGGGGGGUCCUCACAGUGUGGGGUGACCAGAGGGGGUUCCUGAGAGGUGGAGCGACUUCCUGAGAAUGCAAGGUGACUGGUGGUCCCUAUGGAAGGGACUAAGCGGGCACCACAAGUCGGGGUCCCCAGCAGGCUGCUGAGGGGUGAAGCCCAAGGGGGGUAUAUUCCACCUGGGGGCCUCAGGGUUAGGGAGGUGGCUCUGAGGGACGGAGGGGGCCUAGGAAGCGGGAUCCCUGUGGGAGGGUCAAACCCCUGGGAGUGUGCCCUUCAGUGGUGGCAGUAACCAGGACUUGGGGCAAGGGAGGCUGGACUAGGAGUGGAGGAUCACUGACGGGUGGGCAGGGUGCAAGAGGAAAGGGCACUGUGCUCCAGCCCAGACCUCCCUUGAGAGUGUGGCACACCAGGCUCCAGGUCUGUGACCCCCACUGGGAUCUGAUAAGCCCACUGAAGAUGUCCAGAAACACCCUGUGAGCAGCUAGGACACCUGCACCUUGGACUUCAACUGGCUGCUUCUACUUUGGCCUAAGCUCUUAAAUUAAUUCAGUGGUUUUAUUGGUGACUUUCAUUCUAAGAUUAAGUCCCAAAAUGUUUCAAAAUGAGAAACCUAGAUGGUUCUUCCGUUUCUUUCAAGGAUUCAUUUGUGAUUGGUACAGAUGGUGUUGAAGGAGCUCCUAGCAGGGUGGGGAGCCCUAUCUGUGGUAUUAGGGCAAGCCCCUCAGAAAGAGGGUCUGUCCACCCCAGGACAGAGGUUGGGUCAUUCUGAGCCAGAGAGACCUCCCUCCACAUGGUAGGCAGGUCAGGACCACUGCUCAGGAUGCUCCACCAACAGCCUUAUAGCAGCAGGGUCGCCUCGUUCACCUAAGCAAUCCAGGUGGGAGCUGGAGCCCCACAGUCCUGUGGCUGGCCAGCACUCCUGCCCCACUGCACCCAAAGUACAGAUCCAGAAGUAAAGACAUAGCACCACAGCCAGGGUCACCCAGUGAUCAGUCCUGAGCAAAGUCCCACCUUCCUAUCCAUAAGGAAGAGGUUUCUCUGGCUCAGAAGGACCAGAAACUGGAAAUCCCUCCAAACACAAAAUUCAGCUAUGGUGGAAGCAGGCCCAGCCAUGGGGCCCUGACUACGGCACAGCACCCAACCAGGAACUGCAAACACUGUCUCUGCUCCACAGGUGUCUGCUUAUCUGAGACUAAAUGUGCCAGGGAGAUGGAGAUCCACUACCUGAGCAGGACUCAACAGCACAGCUUGUCUACAUGCAGCAGUGGCUACUGUUGGCUGGAGCGACUACUUCAGAGUUGGAAAUAGUUAAGACAAAUCGGUUGUGCAACCAAGGCCUCACAAGGGUGUCGUACUUGAGAAUAUAUUUCAUGUGAGCCACAUGACACACCCAUCUUGAAGAAAUGAGGGCUGCAGAGUAUGUGUUGGACCUGUGCCCACGCCGCCCUCAGCCGGCUCCAGCUGGCCAUCUGAGCUCUGGUGUACAGUCUCAGCCACUCAAGUGGUAAGAAGAUGCUCCCUGGCAAGCCAAGAACCACAUAGACACAGAGGCCCUCAGCAAGAUCCUACAUCCAGCCACCCUUCAGCGUCCCCCUUGGGAAAUCUGAUGGGACUCUCAAAACAACCUGAUGCUCAGCUUCUACCUUCAUCCCCAAGCAACGCCGUCAUGCCCCCUCUGUAAUGGAAAGAAUGUCUCCUAGAAGGACAUGUCCUCAGCUACAGUACCUGUGACUGUGACCUGGUUUGGAAGUAGAGUCUUUGCAUAUGUAUCAAGGUCAGGUUACGGGGUGGGCUCUAACCCAAUGACUGGCGUCUUCUGGAUCAGAUAUACAGUGGGAAGAUGGCCACGUUGAGGGUGGAGACAGAGUCUGGAGUGGUAUGUGUGGCAUCAGGUUGGAGGAUUGCCAAGGGUGACCCAGGAGCACCAAGGACUGGCAGCCACAGGAGCUGGAAGAGGCAGGAAGGACCCUCCUAAACAGGUUUCAGAGGGAGGCAGCUCUGCCAACCCUGGUGUCAGGCUUCUGGCCUCCAGAACUCUGAGACAAGGAGCAUCUACCACUUUAAAAUGCUCAGUCUCAGGUCUGCCAUGAGCGCAUCCCGUCAGUCACAGGCACCCUCGCACUUCCCAAGAGAGGGGCAGGCCCUACACCCGGGUCAGCUCCACCUGGAAAUCCUGGGGCUCCCCUUUCACAGUGUGUCCAGAACCAGUUCUGUGACCAGCUCCCCAGGGUGAGCCACCACCUCCCACCUGUCUCUCUCCAGGACCCCGUUACUCUGCUUCAUCCUGGCACCUCUGUUCUAUGCAACAGCCCAGCAAAUCCUGUCACUUCUGUGCUGAGACACUACCUGACUCACCGUCUCCCUCAGAAUCAAAGCCAAAGCCCUCAACUUAACAAUGAAAAACAAAGUGACUAAAAACUGAACCAAGGACUUGAACAGACGAUUCUCCAAAGAAGAUAUUCAGAUGGCCGAUGAGCACCUGUAAGACCCUAAGCAGCAUCAGCCACCAAGGACUGAGACGCCAGGGUACCUCGCCAGGUAGCGAGCAUCGGCCAGGGCCUGGGGAUGCUGCAGGCUUCACACUGCGGGGGACUGGGUGGGUGAUGCUGCUGCUGUGUGGAGGAGCAGAUGCUCCUUUCGCAUCCAACACAACUCUUUUGCCCCAGGUACUCACCCAGGAGAAAGAAGACACGUCUCAUCUGAAAUCUAUGUGUAAAGGUCCACGGCUAUGUCACUCAAAGAAGCCAAAAUGUAAAAACAAAAUAAAGUGUGGUGUGCAUAUAAAUGGGAUGAGACUUGACAAUAACAGCGAAUGAACUUGUGACGUGGAUGAGCCUUGAAAACAUCUUGCUCAGUGAGAGAAGCCACUCACUAUGGGAAACGUUCCCAAUCGGCAAAUGUGUAAAACAGGUUUAUCUGUAAAACAGGUUUAUGGAAGGAGCUUGGGAGGGAGGGAUGGGGAGCGAUGCUGAGGGCAGUGGCUUCGUCUGUGACUCACAAAACUGUCCACAACACUGCAGGAAGGCUCGCACAUCCUCCAGAGUGCUGAUGCCACAGAGCUGCACACGUCUCGGGGAGCAUGUGAGUGCAUGCUGUGCUUCAGCAACACUAAAAACUUUAAACACACUGGAUAAAUAAUUACAUAAACAUAAUUUUAAAAUAAGACCAGAGAGGGCCUGAGGUUGUGGCUCAGUCGUACAGCGCUUGCCUCGCACCUGCCUUGCACAUGUGAGGCCCUGGGUUCAAUACUCAG